UAUUUCAGAUUUUUUUUUUCAAUUGAUCUGUUUGUGUGAUUUUGGAAAUUUGGAAAUUGUUGGGUGAAUAUUGUUUGGAAAUUUGUGUGAUUUUUGGGUGAAUAUUGAAACUGUGUUUGGAAAGGAUGAUGAAAGAAGGAGGGAGGGAGGAAACGGUUGGUUGAAGCUAACUUGGCAGCUUGUGCUAUAUUUGACACAAGCUUUGGCAUUUGCCAAAGAUAGCAGCUGCUACAAGUUACCAUUGGAGGUACCUUUCUAUCAACUGCUGCCAUAAUUUGGCAAUAGCAGGUCGAGCCGCUCUUAGUCUAUAACCAUAUAUAAAAAGCGUGAAACCUUAAGCGUAAAUCCAACGCUGUAUAUGACUUGAGUACCCUCAAAACUCUCUCAAAUUACUGGUUCACCCUACCACCAUUGUUGGUUAUACAAAUCUGAAGCCAUAUGGGUCUUCAAUCUAUCAGCCACAUGGUCUCAUGAAAGACAGCUGGCAGUGUCGAUGCUAUGCUACGCAAACGACUUUACUCAAUUCAUAGCUCUGUAUCGACGAUUUGCUAUGGUUCUCUGUAUUUGUCUGUGUCGACGCUCGCUGUUCUCUGUAUUUGUUUACGUCGACGCUGUUCUUUGUAUUUGUUCUUUCACUGAUGAGAUCCUCCUGGCCACCGCUAUCCACUCUAUCCAACCCCCCCUCUCUCUCUCACACACACAAACCCUUGAUUGCUUUGGUUUAGGUUUUGUCAUUCUUCACUUAUUUGAGCAGUCAAAUUCAAGUUGAAAAACCUACAAUGGUCUUGCUGGGCAUACGAAACUUGUGCGUAGAAGCUAUUUGAGGGUUUGUCAAAGAGACUAAUAUUUCAUUGGCUCCAAGGUGUCUGGAUAUAAAAUUACAAAACCAAACACUUUCAAGUUGAGGCACCACCGACUUGCAAUGACCUCUAAUUUAUUCUACUUCUAGCUUUGUGUUGAACUGCAAAGGGAUGGGAACAAGGACGAAGGACUUGGGAAAGAGAAGCAAGGGAUCAAAGGAUAUGUCAGGGUUAAGAACAAAUAAGACAUUGCAGAGGGGGGAGUUGGCUGUUACCAAGUUGCUUGCGUGGUUCUCAUCACUUUUCAUGGAAAAGAUGGUGCUGGUUUAAAUGACAAGUAUGACAAUCCAUGAAUGCCUUGAAAAUCAUUUUGUCUAUCUAAUUAAUGAGAUCGGCUUUAUAGAACGAGUUAAACAUGAGAAAUUUACUCAAGAUUCACAAGAAGAAAAGAUUAUGAGGUUGGCUAUGCUAUUGAUUGAAGUUUUUGAGAGCACUGGUAAUAGUCUUGAGGAAUAUCUGCAGCUGCAACAACUUGAUGUGCGGAGAAAACAUGUGGAGAACGAUAAUGCUGAGGCAUGUGGAAUCUGGCUUUAACUUGAAGGCUGGAGACUUAGAUUUUAGCAGUAGAGACUGGUUUGGGAACCUAAUACUUAACGUUUGAUUGUCUUUUUUUGGAUUGUGUUUCUUCUCUUUAUGCACAUUAUUGAUCGUAUAACUUUUGUGGUUCAGUGUAAGUAUCUAAGCUAUUAUGUCAUUGAAUGGCUAGUUAACAUUUGGGGGUACCCUUAUUUUUUACAGGUUCAUUUCCUAUGAUUCCUCUACCAAGUACAUAGAGACUCAAUUAGAUAAGUUGUCUGAGUCAUGGAGUCCUGGCUUGCCCAUGCUGCAGCAAACAAAUGUGUUUUACCCCCCAAAGAGACUCCCAAGAGCUGAAGAACUUCCUGCGUAGCUAUUGAAGAGGUUUAAUCGAAGGUGCUGAUCGAUUCUCUCCUUCAAAGAUCACAUUCUGCAAACGAUGAACGAAGACAUAUCAUUUUUCAUUUUUUUUCCCCCCAGAUUUCUGUUCUGUCCAGAUUUCUGUUUCCUCUUUUUUCAAUUUUUUUUUCCAGAUUUUUGUACUCCUCCUUGGCAGCAAACGAUCCCCUCCGCUCCAAUGACGACUCCUCUUCUCGUCAGGUUCAUUUCCUAUGAUUCCCCUACCGAGUACAUAAAGACUCAAUUAGAUACGUUGUCUCAGUCAUGGUGUCCUUGCUUGUCCAUGCUGCAGCAAACAGAUGUGUUUUCCCCCCCAAAGGUGUACUUAUAAGAUGCUUGAAGAUGUCGUUGGUGAACAUUAUAAUGGUGGUUAUGAUUUUGUUAAACUGUUCUUCGAUUUCAAGCGACUUCACCUCAGAAAAACAGAGUUAGUUUUGCCUUACAAACUGUGAAUGAUUAUGACUUAUCCUUCUUUUGCUGGGGAACAAAUGCAAUAGGGGUUAUGUAUUCAUCAAUCCUGACUGAUCCUGCCCCUGUUAUCCCCUUCUAUCAGAGGCAUUUAAACGAAUGCAAUGGGUAGAGACUGUAGAAGAAAUGCAGCAAUUUCUAGUGCUAAGAUGCAGGGAAAAGCUGCAGUCAAGGCCCACCAGCAUGGUCAAACUUGAGGACUGAAGAUAUGCAUGUGAUAAGGUACUAAGGGUCUUGAAGACUGCAGCGCUCCUUGGAUUUUCUUGGAUUUUGGUGUUUGCUACAUUGCCCGUCAUUCCAUUCUGCAUUAUUUUUCUCUGUUGCAAACCUUUGUCAAUGGAAGCAUUUAGACUAGCUUGUUUUGCUAUUGGCGAUAUCCCUUGGGUGCCUCUGUGCGGUUCGGAGAGUUUUGUGUUUAUUUCCUGGUUGUAUGCCUUAUCUGCUGUUUCGUCUUGGUUGUGAAAGUUGCAUCCUAGUUGUGUGUACAUUCAAAGACCCUGACUUCUAUAAAAACGAGUGUCAAAAUUAGUCUUUAGUAGCAAUAUAUUUUCAAAAAUUUUCAACUUAUAUUUGUCAUCAGGGUGCAAUGUUAUUCUAUGAUUACUGUUAAGCUUGACUUGGGGUUUGUAGUCUUCUAUUGUCGCUUGGGUGUAAGUGUUGGACUGAGAAUCUUAUCAAUUCGCUGUGGUGAUAUGGAGUUGGUGUUGUGCUUUGGUGCUCGCUUACAUAUUUUAUUUCCAUUGGGAAUUGUUGACUUUUGGAAGCAUAGUUAUAUUUCCUUUUAACAUGGUUGAGUUGCAAUUUGCAUUAAAUUUUGGAGAUUGAUAUGUAUCCUAUGUUUGUUUAGUCAUGGGAUUAGAGGUCAUGAAAUGAUUAUUUGGUUUUAUUGUAUACAUACUUGUUUGUAAUUGGGAAUUGUUGACUUUUGGAAAUAAAGUUAUAUUUCCUUU